AUGGCAGAGACGACUUGGGUGCUAGUCAGACAGGAUUCAACAUCCCAACAGAUGAACACCCACUCCUCGGUUCUUCCACUAGGAUGGUCUCUGAGGGUCAACUCUGAUGUUUCUCCACAAAGCUUGAAUCACGGACCCUGCAACACGGAAUGCAAUUUAUUCCGCCUUCCAGAGACGAAAAGCAUCAAAGCAAGCUUCCGGGAAUUUAAUUUCAGCGUUUGCAUCCAAGUCACCAGGGGCUCAGGAGGCCAGGCGGGACACACUGCCCCGCGCUCGCUCUCGCCUUCUCUCUCUGUCAGAGGUGAAGUGUUCCAUCUAUGUUCCUUGGAAGUCCUGAAGCACCGUGGAGGUUGCACUGGGUCUCCAGGCACCCACAGCAUCACAGCAAUAGAGGGACCAAUCCAGCCUCCCACUGAGCGGAGAGGGAAAUUGAGGCCCAGGGAGAAAGAUGGCGAAGCUUGGACAAGGACGCAGGUCUUUCGACCGUCAGAUGCGUGCCUUCUCACGUCAGCCCACAGGUUCCUCUUGCCGAGAUCCUCUCCAAGCUAACACCCGAUCGUGGAAACAGACCAUACUCAACCCAGCAAGUCUUCUAAAAGUCCUUGUGCUGUGGUCUGGGGACUGAGCUCUCUGGCUCUGGAUUGGACCAGAUCUUUGCACAGAUUCCAGCUCUAUCACUGCCCAGCUGGGUGACCUUAGAGAAGCCACUCACCUUCUGCACCUGCCUUCUCAUCUGUAAACUCGGCAUGGUAAGGCCCACCUCACAGAGCUGGUGCAAGAAGUUACUAAUACACUGUGUGGACAGCGUGCUCAGCCUAGGAGCCAGCUCACCAGAAGCACCUCAAAAUGGCAGCUGCCAUCAGUGUUACAUGGAUGGUGCUGGGCCAGGCACCGAGAAGCUUGGAGGGGUGGACAUGGAUAUGAUCUCUCCCUGCAUGGGACUGAUGAUAAAGAGCUAAGAUUUAGAGUUGGGGAUGGUUACUCAAAGGACAAAUGUCAAGGAGGGUGUCAUUAAGUGACUAUAUAUGAGGCAGUGAGUAAAACAGAUUUUAUGAGAGAAAGAAAGAGGAAACGUAUAGGGCUGACUUCAGACUGACAUAAAACAUACAUUUGACAUAUUUUUAUCUUCUUAUUAAAAAUAUUUCUUGUUAUUGUCUGAUAUUAGAUGCAUUUGCAUCCAAUGGUCAAAGUAGUUCAGUGAGGACAAGAAAGAGCAUUCUCAUUUUACGGAAUAAAGAACAUGGGCUCCAAGAAACA
rnacentral:lncRNA from 1 species